GAGUUUGAUCAUGGCUCAGGAUGAACGCUAGCGGCAGGCUUAAUACAUGCAAGUCGAGGGGCAGCAGCUUUAUAGCAAUAUAGAGGCUGGCGACCGGCAAACGGGUGCGGAACACGUACACAACCUUCCUUGAAUAGGGGGAUAGCCCAUAGAAAUGUGGAUUAAUACCCCGUAAUAUAGCGGUGUGGCAUCACACUGUUAUUAUAGUUUCGGCGAUUCGAGAUGGGUGUGCGGCUGAUUAGGUAGUUGGCGGGGUAAAGGCCCACCAAGCCUUCGAUCAGUAGCUGAUGUGAGAGCAUGAUCAGCCACACGGGCACUGAGACACGGGCCCGACUCCUACGGGAGGCAGCAGUAAGGAAUAUUGGUCAAUGGACGCAAGUCUGAACCAGCCAUGCCGCGUGAAGGAUGAAGGUCCUCUGGAUUGUAAACUUCUUUUAUAGGGGGCGAAAAAAGGUCUUUCUAGAUCACUUGACAGUACCCUAUGAAUAAGCACCGGCUAACUCCGUGCCAGCAGCCGCGGUAAUACGGAGGGUGCAAGCGUUAUCCGGAUUCWCUGGGUUUAAAGGGUGGCGUAUGCGG
rnacentral:rRNA from 1 species